UAGCAAUACUUAGUGGCAGACGGGUGAGUAACAUGUGGGUAUCUACCCUUUGGCCUGGAAUAACACGAGGAAACUUGUGCUAAUACCGGAUAAGUCUUUACGGAGAAAGCUUUAUGCACCAUUGGAUGAGCCCGCACUUGAUUAGUUUGUUGGUAGGGUAAUGGCCUACCAAGACUAUGAUCAAUAGCUGAUUUGAGAGGAUGAUCAGCCACAUUGGGACUGAGACACGGCCCAAACUCCUACGGGAGGCAGCAGUGGGGAAUCUUGCACAAUGGAGGAAACUCUGAUGCAGCGAUGCCGCGUGAGUGAAGAAGGCCCUUGGGUUGUAAAGCUCUUUCGUCGGGGAAGAAAAUGACUGUACCCGAAUAAAAAGGUC
rnacentral:rRNA from 1 species